rnacentral:rRNA from 1 species
CAAGUCGAACGGUAACAGGUCCAGCAAUGGAUGCUGACGAGUGGCGCACGGGUGCGUAACGCGUAUGCAACCUACCUUUAACUGGGGAAUAGCUCAGAGAAAUCUGAAUUAACACCCCAUAGUAUUAUUGAUCGGCAUCGAUUGAUAAUUAAAACUCCGGUGGUUAAAGAUGGGCAUGCGUGACAUUAGCUAGUUGGUGAGGUAACGGCUCACCAAGGCUCCGAUGUCUAGGGGAUCUGAGAGGAUUAACCCCCACACUGGUACUGAGAUACGGACCAGACUCCUACGGGAGGCAGCAGUAAGGAAUAUUGGUCAAUGGACGCAAGUCUGAACCAGCCAUGCCGCGUGCAGGAUGAAUGCCCUAUGGGUUGUAAACUGCUUUUGUACGGGAAAAAACCCUCGAUCGUGAUCGAGGCUGAUUGUACCGUAAGAAUAAGGAUCGGCUAACUCCGUGCCAGCAGCCGCGGUAAUACGGAGGAUCCAAGCGUUAUCCGGAUUUAUUGGGUUUAAAGGGUGCGUAGGCGGAAUAGUAAGUCAGUGGUGAAAGCCUGCAGCUUAACUGUAGAAUUGCCAUUGAUACUGCUAAUCUUGAGUACAUAUGAAGUGGGCGGAAUGUGUCAUGUAGCGGUGAAAUGCUUAGAUAUGACACAGAACACCGAUUGCGAAGGCAGCUCACUAAACUGUAACUGACGCUGAGGCACGAAAGCAUGGGGAGCAAACAGGAUUAGAUACCCUGGUAGUCCAUGCCGUAAACUAUGAUUACUCGAUGUGUGCGAUACACUGUACGCGUCUAAGCGAAAGCGUUAAGUAAUCCACCUGGGAAGUAC